rnacentral:rRNA from 1 species
UUAAGCGACUAAGCGUACACGGUGGAUGCCCUGGCAGUCAGAGGCGAUGAAGGACGUGCUAAUCUGCGAUAAGCGUCGGUAAGGUGAUAUGAACCGUUAUGACCGGCGAUUUCCGAAUGGGGAAACCCAGUGUGAUUCGUCACACUAUCAUUAACUGAAUCCAUAGGUUAAUGAGGCGAACCGGGGGAACUGAAACAUCUAAGUACCCCGAGGAAAAGAAAUCAACCGAGAUUCCCCCAGUAGCGGCGAGCGAACGGGGAGCAGCCCAGAGCCUGAAUCAGUGUGUGUGUUAGUGGAAGCGUCUGGAAAGGCGCGCGAUACAGGGUGACAGCCCCGUACACAAAAAUGCACAUGCUGUGAGCUCGAUGAGUAGGGCGGGACACGUGGUAUCCUGUCUGAAUAUGGGGGACCAUCCUCCAAGGCUAAAUACUCCUGACUGUACCGAUAGUGAACCAGUACCGUGAGGGAAAGGCGAAAAGAACCCCGGCGAGGGGAGUGAAAAAGAACCUGAAACCGUGUACGUACAAGCAGUGGGAGCACAGAGCAAUCUGUGUGACUGCGUACCUUUUGUAUAAUGGGUCAGCGACUUAUAUUCUGUAGCAAGGUUAACCGAAUAGGGGAGCCGAAGGGAAACCGAGUCUUAACUGGGCGUUAAGUUGCAGGGUAUAGACCCGAAACCCGGUGAUCUAGCCAUGGGCAGGUUGAAGGUUGGGUAACACUAACUGGAAGGACCGAACCGACUAAUGUUGAAAAAUUAGCGGAUGACUUGUAGGCUGGGGGUGAAAGGCCAAUCAAACCGGGAGAUAGCUGGUUCUCCCCGAAAGCUAUUUAGGUAGCGCCUCGUGAAUUCAUCUCCGGGGGUAGAGCACUGUUUCGGCAAGGGGGUCAUCCCGACUUGCCAACCCGAUGCAAACUGCGAAUACCGGAGAAUGUUAUCACGGGAGACACACGGCGGGUGCUAACGUCCGUCGUGAAGAGGGAAACAACCCAGACCGCCAGCUAAGGUCCCAAAGUCAUGGUUAAGUGGGAAACGAUGUGGGAAGGCCCAGACAGCCAGGAUGUUGGCUUAGAAGCAGCCAUCAUUUAAAGAAAGCGUAAUAGCUCACUGGUCGAGUCGGCCUGCGCGGAAGAUGUAACGGGGCUAAACCAUGCACCGAAGCUGCGGCAGCGACACUGUGUGUUGUUGGGUAGGGGAGCGUUCUGUAAGCCUGUGAAGGUGUGCUGUGAGGCAUGCUGGAGGUAUCAGAAGUGCGAAUGCUGACAUAAGUAACGAUAAAGCGGGUGAAAAGCCCGCUCGCCGGAAGACCAAGGGUUCCUGUCCAACGUUAAUCGGGGCAGGGUGAGUCGACCCCUAAGGCGAGGCCGAAAGGCGUAGUCGAUGGGAAACAGGUUAAUAUUCCUGUACUUGGUGUUACUGCGAAGGGGGGACGAGAAGGCUAUGUUGGCCGGGCGACGGUUGUCCCGGUUUAAGCGUGUAGGCUGGUUUUCCAGGCAAAUCCGGAAAAUCAAGGCUGAGGCGUGAUGACGAGGCACUACGGUGCUGAAGCAACAAAUGCCCUGCUUCCAGGAAAAGCCUCUAAGCAUCAGGUAACAUCAAAUCGUACCCCAAACCGACACAGGUGGUCAGGUAGAGAAUACCAAGGCGCUUGAGAGAACUCGGGUGAAGGAACUAGGCAAAAUGGUGCCGUAACUUCGGGAGAAGGCACGCUGAUAUGUAGGUGAAGUCCCUCGCGGAUGGAGCUGAAAUCAGUCGAAGAUACCAGCUGGCUGCAACUGUUUAUUAAAAACACAGCACUGUGCAAACACGAAAGUGGACGUAUACGGUGUGACGCCUGCCCGGUGCCGGAAGGUUAAUUGAUGGGGUCAGCGCAAGCGAAGCUCUUGAUCGAAGCCCCGGUAAACGGCGGCCGUAACUAUAACGGUCCUAAGGUAGCGAAAUUCCUUGUCGGGUAAGUUCCGACCUGCACGAAUGGCGUAAUGAUGGCCAGGCUGUCUCCACCCGAGACUCAGUGAAAUUGAACUCGCUGUGAAGAUGCAGUGUACCCGCGGCAAGACGGAAAGACCCCGUGAACCUUUACUAUAGCUUGACACUGAACAUUGAGCCUUGAUGUGUAGGAUAGGUGGGAGGCUUUGAAGUGUGGACGCCAGUCUGCAUGGAGCCGACCUUGAAAUACCACCCUUUAAUGUUUGAUGUUCUAACGUGGACCCGUGAUCCGGGUUGCGGACAGUGUCUGGUGGGUAGUUUGACUGGGGCGGUCUCCUCCUAAAGAGUAACGGAGGAGCACGAAGGUUGGCUAAUCCUGGUCGGACAUCAGGAGGUUAGUGCAAUGGCAUAAGCCAGCUUGACUGCGAGCGUGACGGCGCGAGCAGGUGCGAAAGCAGGUCAUAGUGAUCCGGUGGUUCUGAAUGGAAGGGCCAUCGCUCAACGGAUAAAAGGUACUCCGGGGAUAACAGGCUGAUACCGCCCAAGAGUUCAUAUCGACGGCGGUGUUUGGCACCUCGAUGUCGGCUCAUCACAUCCUGGGGCUGAAGUAGGUCCCAAGGGUAUGGCUGUUCGCCAUUUAAAGUGGUACGCGAGCUGGGUUUAGAACGUCGUGAGACAGUUCGGUCCCUAUCUGCCGUGGGCGCUGGAGAACUGAGGGGGGCUGCUCCUAGUACGAGAGGACCGGAGUGGACGCAUCACUGGUGUUCGGGUUGUCAUGCCAAUGGCACUGCCCGGUAGCUAAAUGCGGAAGAGAUAAGUGCUGAAAGCAUCUAAGCACGAAACUUGCCCCGAGAUGAGUUCUCCCUGACCCUUUAAGGGUCCUGAAGGAACGUUGAAGACGACGACGUUGAUAGGCCGGGUGUGUAAGCGCAGCGAUGCGUUGAGCUAACCGGUACUAAUGAACCGUGAGGCUUAACCUU